rnacentral:lncRNA from 10 species
CCGCCUCCUCCCCCGCCGCAGCUCCCAGAAUCUCGUAACUGCCCUUCUAAAUGCAUCUGGAAUCUGCCUGCUUCCUUCCCUCCAUCCCCACGGCCGCCAGGAGACUCAGAGGAAACCAGUGCAGAUUCCUGAGAAGCCACGGCUGCCGAUGACUCCGACGAGUGUUUGCAUUUCCAGAGCCUGUGAAGUUCUGUGCCUGCAGCUACGGACUUGGCCUGUUGGCGUUUUCAUAGUCUUGCCCUUGCAAACAAGGCAAUCAGUCUACUAAGUUAACAAAAGCUUACCAUUCACAGUAAAAGCAAAAGAAAUGAAAAAAAAAAAUGUAAGGAGCCCUCCGUCAACAGAUAAAUGCCUGCCACGGACCAGGCACUGGGAUCGGUGUCACUCAGAUCACAGGACACUCAGAUGUUGAUAACGCGUAGGUAACACAGUGUAGAAGGAAAGGUCUGUAGCAGACAACGCAACACAGCGAGAGCCACAGCAAGCGGGGCACGAGCCGGGUGAAGGCAGAUGGAAAACAUCCCUGGGAGAGGGGAACCGGCGGCUUCCUCCAGGUGGUCAUCGUGGAUCCUCAAAGCUUAGCACAGUGUCUGGGCACAGAGCAGGGCCUCAUAAAUGUGUUCAAUUUACAUAGGCCCAGAAGAGGCGGGCGCGGUGGCUUAUGCCUGUAAUCCCAGCACUUAGGGAG